rnacentral:rRNA from 1 species
UCGAACGCACAGCGAAAGGUGCUUGCACCUUUCAAGUGAGUGGCGAACGGCCGUAUAACACGUGGACAACCUGCCUCAAGGCUGGGGAUAACACCUUGAAACAGAUGCUAAUACCGAAUAAAACUUAGUGUCGCAUGACACAAAGUUAAAAGGCGCUUCGGCGUCACCUAGAGAUGGAUCCGCGGUGCAUUAGUUAGUUGGUGGGGUAAAGGCCUACCAAGACAAUGAUGCAUAGCCGAGUUGAGAGACUGAUCGGCCACAUUGGGACUGAAACACGGCCCAAACUCCUACGGGAGGCUGCAGUAGGGAAUCUUCCACAAUGGGCGAAAGCCUGAUGGAGCAACGCCGCGUGUGUGAUGAAGGCUUUCGGGUCGUAAAGCACUGUUGUAUGGGAAGAACAGCUAGAAUAGGAAAUGAUUUUAGUUUGACGGUACCAUACCAGAAAGGGACGGCUAAAUACGUGCCAGCAGCCGCGGUAAUACGUAUGUCCCGAGCGUUAUCCGGAUUUAUUGGGCGUAAAGCGAGCGCAGACGGUUUAUUAAGUCUGAUGUGAAAGCCCGGAGCUCAACUCCGGAAUGGCAUUGGAAACUGGUUAACUUGAGUGCAGUAGAGGUAAGUGGAACUCCAUGUGUAGCGGUGGAAUGCGUAGAUAUAUGGAAGAACACCAGUGGCGAAGGCGGCUUACUGGACUGCAACUGACGUUGAGGCUCGAAAGUGUGGGUAGCAAACAGGAUUAGAUACCCUGGUAGUCCACACCGUAAACGAUGAACACUAGGUGUUAGGAGGUUUCCGCCUCUUA